AGCCCUGUAGUUCAGUGGUCAAGAAUGGCGCGCUCUGGCCGCGCAGACCCAGGUUCGAAUCCUGGCAGGGCUA
rnacentral:tRNA from 1 species